CUCCUAUUUAAGAAGGAUAGAUAGAAUCGGUAAAAUAAAAACCCUAACUUAUAGAGAGGCAGCCGGAUACCAAAAUCAUUUGUUCGUCAGGAAAAGCGGCCAUCAUGAUUAAUGAAGAAGAAAAUCAGAUCUUGGUUGGUGGUGGUAGCAAACCCGUUGACGGAGGAGAAGCGGAGAAAAAAGAUCAGAUAACAAUGUUUGGAGAGUAUGAAAUUAUAAGACACGAAAAGAUUGAGAUUGCUAAAACAAGCAUGCGUCCUGCAUCCAGAAGGUAUUGCGCGCUGGCACGAAAAAGCGAGAAUCCGAAGGAACGCACAAACUGCCCAGUGUAAGAAAAUAAAGCUAGAGAGAGAGAGAACAGAAAAAGAAGAAAGCAUCAGAUCCAACAACAUUAGGUGCUGCUCGAGCAGCCUCUUGGGAGAAACUCUUUGAUGCGAGUACAACCUCGAUGUUGGUCUGUUGGUCGAAUAAAUAUUUAUGUGAAUCUCUCUAGAAAGACCCCUUUCAACUUCUACAAAGUAUUUUUCUUUUAUAUCAAGACAAGUUUGUUAUUUAUGUGAAUCUCUCUAGAAACCCUUUCAACUUCUACAAAGUAUUUUAUAUUUAUAAUGAACUAGUCAUUGCGUAUGGUCUGCAUGAUACUUC